rnacentral:rRNA from 1 species
CCUGCUCAAUGAAUAUAAAUAGCCGCAAUAGUGCUAAGGUAGCAUAAUAAAUUGCCCUCUAAUUAAAGGAUAGAAUGAAAGGAAAUACGAUUUAUUAAUUGUACCUAACUAAUUAAUUAAAAUUACAAUUAUAUGUAAAAAUUCAAUAAUACAACAACAAGACGACAAGACCCUAUUGAACUUUAUUACAAAUUAAACUGGGACGGUUAAAAACAAAAUCUUUUUUACCUUUAAAAUAAAAGCUAACUUAAGAAUUAAACCAAGUUACCAUAGGGAUAACAGCAUAAUAGUUUAAACAAGCUCACAUAAAAUAAACUGAUUAUGACCUCGAUGUUGAAUUAAUGUAUCUAUUCAUAGAAAAAUAAAAAAAGAAAGUCUGUUCGACUUAUAAAACAUUACAU